UAUGCAAUGAGGAAGAUGUGAGCCUUGCCAUAAAACUCGUGUAGCCCUGACACUUGAGACACAGGGCCAGGUUGUCCAGCUCCCAGACAAAGAACUGUUGUCCAAAAACACACAGAGGGAACCUGGAUCUCCACGUGGAACAUCUGCUGUGGCGUAUGAGGUGUCCUAUACGAAAACGUUGCCUUUACUGUUUUAAUGGCUGUUUUGGCUCUUUCUAAUUUCUUGCCAGCACCAGAACGUGUUGUUCUUGUACAGUCAUCACUGCAGAUUCUUUGGAGACUCCAAAACAGCUGAAUAAAAGCUCCUAAGCCUAACAAUUUGCUCAGUGAGGAGUGGAACGUGUGAAUCCAGGCUUCCUGUGCCCCUGCAGUGGGGGUGCUUUGGUGGCCAAUAACACCAAUGUCUCUGAAAGUGGCUGCACACGUGGGUUCUCUGAAGGCUGAUAAAAAGAGCCACACCUGGCAAAAAAGACAGACUGGCUCUGGUUUGGAUGUCCCUGUUUCUGGAACUCUGCAGAAUUUCAGGACUUGCAUCUUGAAUGACCAAGAAGAUCUUAAGUCCUUGCUGUUAUUUCUUGUUCACUAUCCUUCUUGCUGUGUGUUGUUGUUCUUGUUCUUGUCAUUGCUGAUUCUGUAUGAUCUGGAAGAGGAAGACAAGCUCUCUCCCCCAAAGGUCUGCUUGUUUCCACUUCACAUCAUAUUCAUGUGAUGGCCAUCAGCACACUGCAUUUGUGCUCCUAAAUCUGCACUGUGCCAUGGGAGGCAGCUA